rnacentral:lncRNA from 1 species
UCAAUUUUGGAGAAGGUACCAUGAGGUGCUGAGAAGAAGGUAUAUCCUUUUGUUUUAGGAUAAAAUGUUUAAGACAGGACUUUUUAAAAGACUAAUCAUUCAUUAGAUUUAUCCAUUUUACUUUUGUAUGAAAUGCUUUGCCCGUGUGGUUGGUGCUCACAGAAGUGAGAAAAAAAGCAUUAGGUCCCCUGGAACUGGAGCAAUGGAUGGUCAGGAACCACCACAUGGGUGCUGGGGAUGAAACCCAUGUCUUCUGUAAGAAUGACAAAUGCCAUCUCUGCUGACCUUUACGCAGGCUUGUUCUCUCUUCACUCUUUGACAGAAAGUCUUGAAAUGACAAAUGUUCCAGAAGAAUGUUUUUCUCCUUUGGAUCUUUUCUUUAAAAAUGUGAAAAAAAAAAUGAAGACCCUAAGUUGGUUGUUGUUCUGUCAUGCACUGAGCACUUCUGUGAAGCAGAGGUGACAAAGCUGAGAAAACCCAUUUCCGCUCCCACGGCUCCCACUGAUACAUGGUUAGUGUGAAUUUCUAGGAAGGAGAGUGACAGCGAUGAACUUCCAAGUGGCUCAGAGAGGACCAGCAAGCCUAUUAUCUCUGUGAUCUAACUGAUGCCGUGGCUAUGCAGAACAGUGGCGUGCCAUGUUUAUGUGAGUGGGACCCUCUACUUAGGCAGAAUGAUACUUCUUUCAAUUCCUAAGUUGCUAGUUUAAAACAUCCAGUUAUAAAAUGAGAACACGAGAAAACUGCUAAGUUGUUGGGAUUUCUCCCAUGAUGCUCUCUUUCCUGAUGCUACCACAAUGUGGCAUAGAGUCUCUUCUCCCACCUCUGACCACAGCUUCCUGGAUGUCGUGAUCAUGGAAUUUAGUGUCAGUCUGACUGGAUGGAACAUUAUUUAUGGACGUGAACAUGAGGAAUUUCUAAGAAAACUGGUAUGUGGUUGCCUGGGCUCUGUGCAAGGCCCACUCUUAACAUGGGUGGACAUCAUACAGCCAGCAGGAGCUGCAUGGAACGAACAGAAAAAAAAUGAGAUUUUCUCUGUGACUCUGCCAGGACAGACACACCCUUCUUCUGUCCUUAGACAUCAGAACUCCAGGUCUGCUAGACUCUAGAAUCUGGGUUGUGGACUUGGGCUGGGUCAUCAGGUCUCUAGCCUCAGACUGAGACUUGUACAAAUGGCUUCCCUGGUCUGUGCCUUUCAGACACAGGCUGAGCCAAACUACCAAAAUUGCAGAGCUUCUUCCCUGAAGAAAGCCUGACGUGGCAAUGCUUAGGCCAGUUCUCCUAAGAGCUGUUGGCCCAGAGGAACUUCACUUAGAUUUCAAAGGGUGCUGCAGUCAGUCUCAGGGCCAACACAGAGACUGUCUCAAGAGAAACUCUUCACACAGAGUCUCUAAGGGGCAGUGUAGGAGUAUGGCAAUCUAUUGAGAACCAGAAACUACGUGCUGAUCAGUGUCCAUCUGCAGCCUGGAAAAGCUGCAGUCUUGAGACCUCAACUGCGAGAACAUUGGGUGUUCUCAUGGACAGAGUGCUGCCCUGGCCUGGUACCUCUUGCUUAUUUCUCCCUUCUGAAUGGAACUGAGCAGUUUUCUCUUGAACCUCCAUUGGAUUUUGCAAGUGUGAAAACUGCCCAGUGCACAGGCUCAAGGCCAAAGAAUGCUCACUGUAUGAUUCUUAACCUAUGUCUGGAAGUGUGUGGAUUGCUGACUUCAUGAGGACCUCUACACGAGAUUUUUCCAAGUCAGAACUCAGUGGUGACUUCCCUGGGCUUGUUAGCAUGGUGUUCUCUAUUGCCAGAGAGGCUGCUGUUGAUAUGCUGGAGGAGUCCUCUAGAAUAACACUUGUCCUUCCUGGAAGGGUGAUGCCAAUAUGCUGGGAGCCACAGCUUUUAAAAUGAUCCUUUCCCUGGCCCAAGUUACAUCUUCACAUGCAUCUUCUAUAUCUUGUACCAGCAGUGGAUUGUUUGGGUGUUUUCUAUUUAGGGAGCUUUAGCCUUAGUGGAUGACCAUGUUGUAGUGAAGCCUACCUCCUCCCAGGGAUUUUCUGCAUCAGCAACCAUUGGCCUAGUUGGAUCAGAGUCUACCUUGAGGAAAUCCCUAGACAAAGCUGUUUAAAGUUCUUAAUAUCAGAGGGCAACAUCCUAGGCCACUUCCUCCUUUUCCUUCUUCUGCAGAGAGAAAGAAAAAAGUUUUAGGCUUAUAGUUCGUAUCUCAGAAAAGUCUUCUCAACACGGGUAUGUCCAAAGUGUAGCAGUGCUCUCUGGUUUGAUUUGCUCACACAGAAUCCAUGCUCUUUUGCAUACCCCAAGAACCAUGGAGCAUGGUCACCAUAUCCUUAUUAUAUAGCUGUCUUUAGGAACAGUGAAGGCUCAAUAUUUCCAUUGAAAUUUUGAAAUGCAUUGACCUCAUUGCAUUUUUGUGUGUUUGUGCAUGUAAGUAUGGAGCUCAGUCAUCAACUUUAGGUGUCAGUGUUUAGUCAGUUUUUCUGGGAGAAUCUUUCAUUGGAUUUGAAGCUCACCCCUUUGGUAAUGGUUGCUGGCCAGCACCUACACGGGAUCAGCCUGUCUCGUCCUUCCCAGUGCUGGGAUUACAGGUGUGCACAACUUUCCUGCUUUAUUUUUAUUAUUAUCAUCAUCAUCAUUAUUGAUACUUGGGUUCUGGGCCUACAGUUCAGGUCCUCACGUUGCCUGGAAAGCACAUUAUGGACUGACAGUCGCUCAGGUCCGCACCUUAUCCUUUCUGGAAGUCUUGAACCUUCACUGUAUCUGAUACAACGUUCAUCUAUAGUUCUUCUCUGUAACUUGGUUGAUAUAUGCAUUCUGUAUCCCAGGCAAGGCUGACAGGAAACAUUACACUUGCUGACUGGUAGUCUUUGGUGAAUUUGAACCAAAAAUAAAGCCUCCAAUGUUUUUCUGAUGCUCACUUCCAGGGACAUUUAAGAUAGCAUAAAAUAUCAAGUAUUAAACUCCUUUUACUUAGGGGAUGUAUAAUGCAGAACUGUUCAACCCUCUACUGACUAUCAACACCAACUUACAGAAUUCCUCAGCAAACAGCUAUAAAUUAGUAUGAACUUGCUGACUGUGUGUAUUCUUGCCUAGCUAGGGAGCAGUGCUGAGCACUACCUGCUUUUCCACAAGUUGAAACUGUUCCCAACAAGGUGCUGUGCAUACUGCAUAUGAUUGGGAAAGUCAUUGACUACAGAUAGGAUAACCACACUAAAUUUCUUGCUCAUUCCCUGUGAAAUACCUUAUGUUCUGGUGAGAGUGUUCACCGUGGCAGGUUUCUUGCUGACAGAAAGUUCAUAGAUGUUUGUCCUCAAGUUGCCUUAUUGAGAUACAAAGGAUGAAUCUAUAAGAAUUGUCCCCAUCAAUUCUUGUGCUUGACUAUUUUGAGGCACUGACCUGUGUCAUCAAAAUAAAUUAGUCCAUUAAAAGGACAGACUCCAUUGGUGCAGCACAAUCCAGUCACCAGGCACAGGCUGCAUAGCUGACAUACAAUCCUCUCGUCUCUGUCAUCUUUACACUGAUUUGCCUGCCAGGUGUAGCUCACACUCUGUUGUACUGAUUGAGGAGUUGGCUUUAAGGCUCUUGGCUUUAGGAAAAUGAUUUUCCCAGUCUGAGAUACAGCACUGAAAUGGCAAAUGGGAACAGUUCUAAUGUCAGAAAAGAAGAAGGAAGGGUGGGAGAGACAGCAGUGUCCCAUGUGCACGGAGCCCCCUGCCCUGCCGUCCUGCCUGUCUGUGCUGAACUGGAGAGGCAACACCAGCUCCUUUCUCCUACCCAGUGCUCAGGCCCUGAGGCUUUUGUCUCAGCAGCUCUGUGAUGCCCUGGAGACUUUAGGUCAGCCCCAGAGACAGGGAAGCCCCACACCGAGGAUGUUCUUUCUUGUCCCAGUGCUAACAGAUGUCUGAUAUUUGGUGUGCUUCCUCGUUUUCUCCACAAGGAGUCCAAAGGAACUCCAGAGUGAGUAAGAUGUACAGAAAUGUGCAGACAUCGACAUGAUGCCCUGAGGGGACGUGGCCUCUGCAUGCAGGGUUCUGGGGGUGCCUGGGGUGAGAAGAGGCACACCCUGAAAGCCCUUGUCUACCUAAUCUCCAUGCUGGAGAGAGAGAGAGAGACCUACCUUUUCAAAACCAGGCACUCAAAAGCAAACCUCAGCUAUCUUAGUGAUCCAGCCUGUCAAUCAGCACUUGGGAGGCUGUGGAUGGUGUUAGUGAACCACUAGAAGUUAGAGGAAACAGCCCUUCUCUUCUUCAAACCUGACAAUGAGGACUUUGGUUCUUCUCCUGCACUGUGACUGUGACUCAGUCACAGUGGAUCUCUGCUUAUACCAUAUUUUAGGGCAUUAGGUCAAAGGCAGGACAACCCUUCAGCACAGGCCAUGUCAAGAGACUCAGGUUUGUCAGAGCUAGGGACAUGGCACCACUGUCACCUAGUCAGAUGCUUCACCCAGGGGUGCUGCUAACCUUAACGUUUGGAUCGGGCACAGAACCAAACAGUAUUUCCUUCUUUGUCAGAACUGUGCCUGAGAAAGACUGAUAAGAAACUUGGCGUGUCGUGACUGAUGUACUGAUAAGAAACUCAGUGUGAUAUGACUGAUGUGCGUGUGUCUGUCUGGGAGGACACACGUGGGGCUGGGGAGAGUCCUUGUCUUUGGGGGGGGACGAAUAGAGAGGGAGGUUUAUUAUGAUUUAUGAUUUAUUACUAUUAUGAUCUCAAGAGACUGAGUUCUGUAAGUCUAAAUGAAAAACCAAAAAGAACCUAUGUUCUAGAAUGGAGCCUGAAAUAGAAGUCUUGGAACUCACUUUGUAGACCAGGCUGGCCUCGAACUCAGAGAUCCGCCUGCCUCUGCCUCCGGAGUGCUGGGAUUAAAGGCGUGCGCCACCACGCCCAGCCUGCAACUUUUUAGAUUAUAGAAUACUAGACACGUGGAAACCAGACACGACAGAUAGCUCUCUCAUGAUCUUCUUUUUAACCCACAUAGCCUUCUUGUUCUGGUGAAUCAUUUUCUGAGGACAGCCUACUCAAAAUGAUGAAAAGUCUGACUCAAGGAAAAGUCUUAAACUGAUUAGUCUCACAUAUAACAUGUGCUCCAAUGUCAUAUAGGUUCUGUGUGCCUACAGCAGUGGCUAAGAAGGAAACCUCUUCCCUAUGCCACUCUAAAGGCCCAUGAUGAGCAGAGGAAUCCGGGCUCUGUUACACACUGGCAGUGGUCCGACAACUGCCUGCCUGAGCAGAGAAAGGACAGUCAAAACCUUCAGCAGUGCACACACAGCCUGCUUAAUGGCCACUCCUUCUCAUGAACUUGCUGAGUCAUGACAACAUCCCCUUUGGUCCUUGUGUACUUGACCCCAGGGAGCUGUUCUGGGUGACAAUGCCAAACUCCCCCCCCCCC